UGGGGAAUAUUGCGCAAUGGGCGAAAGCCUGACGCAGCAACGCCGUGUGAGGGAUGAAGGCUUUCGGGUCGUAAACCUCUGUCAGAAGGGAAGAACGGGCAUUGGUCUAAUAGGCCUUUGUUUUGACGGUACCUUCAGAGGAAGCACCGGCUAACUCCGUGCCAGCAGCCGCGGUAAUACGGAGGGUGCAAGCGUUAUUCGGAAUUACUGGGCGUAAAGCGCACGUAGGCCGCUUUGUAAGUCAGGGGUGAAAUCCCACGGCUCAACCGUGGAACUGCCCUUGAAACUGCGAAGCUUGAAUCCUGGAGAGGGUGGCGGAAUUCCUGGUGUAGGAGUGAAAUCCGUAGAUAUCAGGAGGAACACCGGUGGCGAAGGCGGCCACCUGGACAGGUAUUGACGCUGAGGUGCGAAAGUGUGGGGAGCAAACAG
rnacentral:rRNA from 1 species